UUUAGUUUGAUGAAGUAUAGAAAGGUUCUUGAGCUAAUUAAUCCAUAUAUGGAUCAACCAGGACCUUUUUUGUAUCACAAGAAAAAAAUGUUACCUUACAAUUGCAUAAUAAAUACAAGAUAUAAACUAAAAGGAAAACCAUUUUGUAUUAUUAGGACAGAAAACAAACAUGCUCAUGGUAUAUAUUUGGGACAAUCAAAAUUUUUUACUGACUACAACAUACGAUCGGGAUAUUGCAGGAGACGUCUGCAUUCUUCAUUUGCAUCCUGACAGUGAUGUCUCAUCAUUAGGGCCGGGCAUGCCACCCAAUACUGCCAUUCCAGAUCAACAUGAGGAAAUAGUCUUGAAAACUUUUUCUUAUGAAAAGCUAAGCAAAAAAAGAGUGCGCAAAGGAAAGAUUUUACGUAUAGGUAAUGUUAAAGGUCAACUACAAAAUGGAUUUUUCCUGUCCACUUUUGGAAAGAAAGGUGACAGCGGAGCAGCCAUUUUAUCAAAAAGAUCCGGCCAACUUUUAGCCAGGUACCUUUCUAAAGUCUGCACCCCCCCAUCCUUCCCCUGGCGACAAACGAGAGAGACGCUUGGUGUCUGUGUGUCCAAAAGGAACAUUCCAGUCGUCACUCUUUACAACCAAGAGGAACGUGUUCUGAAACCAUCAGAAACGGACCGCUGCAACAACCGUCUCUCGCCAAGUGUAAAGGGCUGGAUGGGUCAGCUGGUUCGUGACAAAAACACCUUCUGCCUGUCACUGAAAUAUGAAGAUACCAACACCAGCACCAGCUGAGACAAGAAGGCUGUGGAGAACCUGACCAGCAACACUACAGCCUCCUGACCAUCAAACCCUGCUCUUCAUCUGCAGAUCUAAAGUGCAUAUAAACCUAUUUUUACACUGUUUCAUGUGUUAAGUAAGAACUAGAUUACUUUUUUUACGUUUAAGGAACAAUAAAGAUUUGACUAUCAAAUCA
rnacentral:lncRNA from 1 species